rnacentral:misc_RNA from 1 species
AAGUCGUAACAAGGUCUCCGUAGGUGAACCUGCGGAGGGAUCAUUAACGAGUACGGGUCCCCGAGAGGGGGCCCCAACUCCCACCCUUUGUCGUCGAACAAUCGUUGCCUCGGCGGGGCCAGCGGCCCCCGGGCCCGGGCCCCAGCGGCCCACCCGCCGGCGGACAAACACAACCCUGCUUCCAACCAUGCGGUCUGAGCGGAUUUUAAUCAAAAUAAUAAAUCAAAACUUUCAACAACGGAUCUCUUGGUUCUG